AGUGAACGCUGGCGGCAGGCCUAACACAUGCAAGUCGAACGGCAGCCCAGUAAGAGCUUGCUCUUAUGGGUAGCGCGUGGCGGCCGGGUGAGGAGUACAUCACAACCCACUUUUUCGUGAGGGAUAACGUAGGGAAACUUAAGCUAGUACCGCAUACGACCUACGGAUGAACGCAGGGGAUCUUCGCAACUUGCGCGAUUGAAUGAGCCGAUGUCGGAUUAGCUAGUUGUCGGGGUAAAGGCUCACCAAGGCGACGAUCCGUAGCUGGUCUGAGAGGAUGAUCAGCCACACGGGAACUGAGACACGGUCCAGACUCCGACGGGAGGAAGCAGUGGGGAAUAUUAGACGAUGGGCGCAAGCCUGAUCCAGCCAUACCGCGGGGGUGAUGAAGGCCUUCGGGUUGGAAAGCCCUGUUGUUGGGAAAGAAGAGCAGCAGGUUAGUACCCCGCGGUUCUGACGGUACCCGAAGAAUAAGCACCGGCUAACUUCGUG
rnacentral:rRNA from 1 species